UGCCCCCUCAAGGGCUUCCAAUGAGGAUUUUAUUUGGAAAGGGUGCAAAAAAACAUAAGCUCAAAUGAUACAUUAUGUGCCACAAUGUCACUGUGAACUCCACCAUACUCUUCUGUGUGAAUAAUAUUGGAAGAAUAUCAUGAUUUUAAAGCAUGCAUGCUUUAAUUAUAGUGCUGCAGAUAUAUUAAAGUCAAUUUAAUAUCAGUGAAGGCCUUAAAAUAUUAUAGUCAAGCCUCUAACCUUUGAUGUAAUUACAUUUUCUUAUAUACCCCUUUAGGAGAUAUGUGAAAAGUACAAAAGACCUUUAUUUAAUGUCCAGUUAGAAUUACUCUGCACUGAAAUGUCCUUCCAUGCAUCUUAUUAGAAAUAAUGUUAAUAUUAGUAGCAAUACUGUUGAAAAUUACCUGCAUUAUUUACAAUAUUUGGAAGUGAUCGGAAAUAUUUUCAUUAUCUAUUAAGUUGCUUUUUUAAAAUAAUAACAAUGAUAAAAAUAAAACACAUUGAUCAUCCCAAUGUGUAAGCAGCCAUAUCUUUAUGGUUGUCCUCUCAGUGCAACCAUGACUCAAAAUAUUCCAAGACACCAAACUUGCAAUAAGAAGUAGAAAAUGCUCAGUUGUUUGGCAAUUUUGCUCUAAAGAUGAUUCGAAUGAUCUUUGAUUGGAUUUCUGUCAAUGAAUAUUUUCUUCCCUUUUUUAAAGACACACCAAAUGUUGGACAUUUUUUGUAAGCCGGAUACAUAUUAGCGAUAUGAUGGAUAGUGUCUCAAAUCACAGUGUCUGUAUGUGGUAAAAAGGCACAAAUGAUGAUGGUUUAAAGUUUGUUUUUGAGCUUUGAGUGUCAUUAGCUGAAAUCAUUCAAAGCCCCAGUGUUGCAAGAAACUAUUGAGUUAAUUGACAAAGCUCCCCAGCUACGACCUGCUUUCUUUGAUCCAAAUACAAUCCAAAUAAUGAGUCUGGAACCAUGAUAAUGCAAAUUUCUCAUUUGAGUCCAUCACUAAAAUUGAACAAAGACCUCUGGCCUAUUAACAACAACAGAUUAAAAAUAAGAGGAGCCUUGAGCCGUGAGCACUGUAAGACAACAGCACCAUGCUUUGUCAGAAAAAGGAAGCUCACGUUGAAUUUUCUCAAUCUCUUCUCAACUUAAAACCAGAUUGGGAUGUUAAUAGCCUCUUUAUAAUGUCAGUAACAUCCAGCAGAUUUGCAAUUUUACCUCCAAAUUUGUCACUUUAAGUCUAAUUUUUUGUGUUGUGACCCCGAGUGCAUGCGGGACAAAACACUGACCAGUGAUGGCAUGCUUCCUUCCUGGGCCUUGUCCCCUGGCAACAGAAGCCCUGCAUGGUUCUGAAAAGAGGACAUGAGCCUGGGAAACUCUUUUAGGAGAGCAGACGGGAGCUCAAAGCACAGCGGGAACGGAAUGUCCGAAAGAGAGGAACGAUACCCCCGCCAUAACCGGACGCAACGUGCUGCCGCUGCAUUGUUGCGAUGGAGCUUCCUGUCUUGCUCCUAACCGUGCCUACCAAUAUUCAGAACACGAUGCCCUGCAUGCUGAGGACACAGCGAGCAGGUGCAACGCCAUGCUCUCUGCCAGUGAGUUUGCCUGAGAAAACAAAUGCCCAUUAAAUAGAUCAAAUAAGCAAAUAGAGCUGAAAUGAUUAGUAGAUUAACUUCUUAAACCAUCAAAAUAAAAUUAUACUUUAAUGUGUUAAUUGAGCUGUUCAGUCUUUUGAAAUAGAGUAUUGAUUUUAUUGAUCCCAUAAGGGGAAUUUUAGUGUUGCAGCAGCACUAUACAUUUAACAAAAACAUACAUAAAACUUCUAAUUUAAAGACAUACACUAGAUAUUUUUUUAAAUGCUAAUUUUUAAAAAAAUAUUAGGAGUAAGAUCACACUAAAAGAAAAACUCAGUGACAUCCAUUAGUUUAAGAUUCUCAAAAUGGAAGAGUUUUCUUUUUGCUUUGCUUCAUUAUAUAGUAAAUUCAACACCUUUAGUGUUUUUAGCGAUGGUCAGACAAAUCAAGAAUGAAAAUAGGGCUCAGGGAAAUUAAAAUGGGCAUUUUAAACAGAUUUUAAAUGAACAAUUGAUAAAAUAAUCAAGCUGAUACUGAAAACAGUUCCAAGGUGCUGCAUUGUAAGAAAGAGAUUUGAAAAGGGACUGAAUGAAGUGUCAGAUUGCCUACAGAGGACCUGUGCUGACCAGCUGGCUGAGGUGUCCAUGAUGAUCUUCACCCUCUCCCUACAACAAGCUGCAGUCCCCACCUGCCUCAAAUCCACCACUAUUGUCCCUGUGUCCAAAAGUCUGCCAUUAUAACCCUCAAUGACUACAGCCCAGUCAACCUGACCCUAAUUAUGAAGCGUUUCAAGAGGAUAAUGAUGGCACACAUCAAGAGAAGUAUCCUCACAGAUCUGAACAGCCAUCAGUUCGCGUACCAGACAAACAGAUCUAUAAAGGAUGCUGUCUUGGUUGCACUUCAUACAUCCCUAACCAACCUGGAGCAGCCGGAUACCUACAUCAGGAUAUUCUUUGUAGACUAUGGCAGUGCCUUCAACACUGUAAUCCCCCAUAAACUCGUACACAAACUUACCAACCUUGAACUCUCCACCACAUUAAACUCAUGGAUUAUGGACAUUCUGUCCAACAGGCCUCAUAAUGUCAAGAUGGGUGAAUCUGACAUCCAGCACCAUAACCACGAACACCACAGAGGUGUGUGCUUCCUCACCAUGGACUGUGUCCCCAUCCACUCCUCCAACACCCUGAUAAAGUUUGCCAUCGAUACUUCGGUGGUAGGCCUUAAGAGGGAAAAAAAGACCUGGUACAGGCAGGAGGUCCAGCAUCUGGAGGGUGGUGUGCAGACAAAUACCUGGUCCUCAACACCACCAAAACAGAGGAAGUCAUCAGAGACUUCAGGAGGACCAGGAGAGUCAUACAGUCCCCACUCUAUAUUAGAGGAGAAGAGGUAGGGAGGGUGGACUCGGUCAAACACCUUGGCAUUCACAUUAUGAAGGAUGUGACAUGGACACCAAAUACCUCCAACCUGGUGAAAAAAGCCCAGUGGAGGAUGCUCUUUCUGAGAAAGUUUAAGCAGGUUGGUCUGGUUCCACAACUGUGCAGAAAUGUCUAAAGAAGCACCAUUGAGAGCAUCCUCUGCCUGGGCUACACAGUGUGGUACAGUGGCUGUAAAGCAAAAGACAGAGAAGAUUUGUCCCAAGUGAUAAAGGUGGCACAGAAAAUCGUGGGAGCUGAGUUCCUGGACUUGGACUCUGUGUACGCUAAGCGCAUGCAGAAAAAAGCACGGGCCAUCUGCAUGGACAUCAGCCACCCUGGACACACCCUGUUUGUCCCACAGCCGUCAAGGAGGAGGUACCGCGCCAUUAAAACAACAGACUGAGGAACAGCUUUUUCCCCAGAACUGUAGCCUCCAUUACACCACCUCCCUCCCUCUCCCCUGCCCACAAACAGCACAACCCAGAGCUGGAACUCUCCUUGAAAAAUACAAGUACCAACCAGCUACUGCAUUCAUAAACAACAGUCUUUGCAUUAGAACUCCUGUGUCUAUUAUUCCAAAAAUACUAACAUUUUUAGAUACUGUAUUAUGGAUCCCAGUUUAACCUUCAUGAUUGUGGUGCAGCUGUUGUAUAAAUAAGGGUGCCUGACUCACAACAAAAAGCAAAGGGCCAGAGAUAAUGCUAACAAAGCCCUUGCCUCAAUGACCGGUAGUGAUACCUGGGACAGUUUUUUUCUAAGUUGCCUUAUGUACAAAACAAAACCCCACACCUGUUCAAACCUGCCUCACAUGCUCUGAUAUUGACUUUGGCAUUGGUGAUGAAUUCUAAAUGGCAUUGGAGGAGUCCUCAUUGUGACUUUCCACUGGCUGAUUUACAGUUCUGUUUUAAGAAUUCAUUAAAAGCUGUUAUGUCUGCUCCA